UGUGGGGCCAACCAGGCCCCUAGCUGUAAAUAAAGACUAUUUGAACUUCCAUCUGUGUUGUUUUCUGCUCAGGGGUCUCCAGCUGUACAAUAGCCAUUACA